rnacentral:rRNA from 1 species
GUUAAGCGACUAAGCGUACACGGUGGAUGCCCUGGCAGUCAGAGGCGAUGAAGGACGUGCUAAUCUGCGAUAAGCGUCGGUAAGGUGAUAUGAACCGUUAUAACCGGCGAUUUCCGAAUGGGGAAACCCAGUGUGUUUCGACACACUAUCAUUAACUGAAUCCAUAGGUUAAUGAGGCGAACCGGGGGAACUGAAACAUCUAAGUACCCCGAGGAAAAGAAAUCAACCGAGAUUCCCCCAGUAGCGGCGAGCGAACGGGGAGCAGCCCAGAGCCUGAAUCAGUGUGUGUGUUAGUGGAAGCGUCUGGAAAGGCGCGCGAUACAGGGUGACAGCCCCGUACACAAAAAUGCACAUGCUGUGAGCUCGAUGAGUAGGGCGGGACACGUGGUAUCCUGUCUGAAUAUGGGGGGACCAUCCUCCAAGGCUAAAUACUCCUGACUGACCGAUAGUGAACCAGUACCGUGAGGGAAAGGCGAAAAGAACCCCGGCGAGGGGAGUGAAAAAGAACCUGAAACCGUGUACGUACAAGCAGUGGGAGCACGCUUCGGCGUGUGACUGCGUACCUUUUGUAUAAUGGGUCAGCGACUUAUAUUCUGUAGCAAGGUUAACCAAAUAGGGGAGCCGAAGGGAAACCGAGUCUUAACUGGGCGUUAAGUUGCAGGGUAUAGACCCGAAACCCGGUGAUCUAGCCAUGGGCAGGUUGAAGGUUGGGUAACACUAACUGGAGGACCGAACCGACUAAUGUUGAAAAAUUAGCGGAUGACUUGUGGCUGGGGGUGAAAGGCCAAUCAAACCGGGAGAUAGCUGGUUCUCCCCGAAAGCUAUUUAGGUAGCGCCUCGUGAAUUCAUCUCCGGGGGUAGAGCACUGUUUCGGCAAGGGGGUCAUCCCGACUUACCAACCCGAUGCAAACUGCGAAUACCGGAGAAUGUUAUCACGGGAGACACACGGCGGGUGCUAACGUCCGUCGUGAAGAGGGAAACAACCCAGACCGCCAGCUAAGGUCCCAAAGUCAUGGUUAAGUGGGAAACGAUGUGGGAAGGCCCAGACAGCCAGGAUGUUGGCUUAGAAGCAGCCAUCAUUUAAAGAAAGCGUAAUAGCUCACUGGUCGAGUCGGCCUGCGCGGAAGAUGUAACGGGGCUAAACCAUGCACCGAAGCUGCGGCAGCGACGCUUAUGCGUUGUUGGGUA